rnacentral:rRNA from 1 species
GGUGGCGUCAGCUGCGUACCCAGAGGAUUCACCUGGCUAGGAUGUUGUGAUGCGCCUGGCGCAUCCAUCAGUCGGAAUAAGAUGUGAUAGUCCACUGGGAGACGGUGGGCCCGGCCGCAAGGUUGGGAUAUGUGUACCGGGUGUUAGCCGGAGCAUGCUAUUCGUCUGUUGGGCUGUCUAGCCAGUGCACUUUCUCUGUGGGGAACACCACGACCGGUGGAAUUGCCAGUCUGCUGUAGCUAAUUCUUGCUGAGAGGGUCCUUGUGGCCAACUUGGUGAGAUCACAGGCAAUGUCAGUGUACGGCGUGGGAGUGCCUUUGGUGUUCCUACGUGUUAUCGGGUGCUGCUUGUCAACGGGCCUGCUCGGUGGUUGUUGUAACUGCCAUUGGGUGGUCUGGUGGGCUAUGGUGGUAAGAAUAACUGUGCAAGGCACUGGAGUUGUCGGCCUCAAAUGCGCUCUGCACUGGCAUGUUACAAGUGCGUGGGGGUGCCAUUGCGGUCUGCCUGUUGUUGAGUCUGAUUGUCGUGUCGCCUGCGCAAAGUAGGCCCGGCAGUGGCUUGAUGCAGGAUGGGCUGUGGAUGGUGUCUCUCAGGUGUGGAGUGCGGUGGGCCUAAAAGUCAGUGGUGCAGUGGUAGACGAGCUACCCGACCCGUCUUGAAACACGGACCAAGGAACAA